rnacentral:rRNA from 1 species
GACGAACGCUGGCGGCGUGCUUAACACAUGCAAGUCGAACGGCAAGGCCCUGCUUUUGUGGGGUGCUCGAGUGGCGAACGGGUGAGUAACACGUGAGUAACCUGCCCUUGACUUUGGUAUAACUUCAGGUAACUGGGGCUACUCCCGUAUCGGAGCCCCCGCUGCAUUGUGGGGGUUGGAACGUUUCGGCGGUUGGGGAUGGACUCGCGGCUUAUCAGCUUGUUGGUGGGGUAGUGGCUUACCAAGGCUUUGACGGGUAGCCGGCCUGAGAGGGUGACCGGCCACAUUGGGACUGAGAUACGGCCCAGACUCCUACGGGAGGCAGCAGUGGGGAAUAUUGCACAAUGGGCGGAAGCCUGAUGCAGCAACGCCGCGUGCGGGAUGACGGCCUUCGGGUUGUAAACCGCUUUCGCCUGUGACGAAGCGUGAGUGACGGUAAUGGGUAAAGAAGCACCGGCUAACUACGUG